UUAACCAAUAAGAAUAAGAGAAAGUUUUACUGCGUUCCGAUUAUUGGUCAUGUGAUCUACAAAGAAACGUCAUCAUAACCAUCAUGGCAGACCACCCGGUCGAGAAUGAAAUAAAACAGAUUUUUAAACGACUUUUAGCAGUUCCCACUAAUAAGCAAUGCUUUGAUUGUGGUCACAGUAACCCAACCUGGGCUAGUGUAACUUAUGGUGUCUUCCUGUGCAUUGACUGCUCAGCUGUGCACAGGUCUCUUGGUGUCCAUGUCACCUUUAUACGUUCUACCCAGCUAGACACAAACUGGACAUGGCUGCAGCUGAGAGCCAUGCAAGUUGGAGGCAAUGCCAAUGCUAGAGCCUUUUUUCAACAACAUGGCUGCACUACAACAGAUGCCCAAAAGAAAUAUCACAGCAGGGCGGCUACUCUUUAUAGGGAUAAGCUUGUGUCUCUAGCACAGCAUGCGAUGAGACAGCAUGGUACUAAGCUGUUUAUUGAUGACCUGGAUAGAGCUAAAGGUGGAAAGCUUCACAUUGAAAGUCAUCAUGAAGUCACUUCACCAGAAAAAAAAGAAGUUGAUUUUUUCUCUGAACACACACAAGAUGCUGGUGAUGACUUUGCUUCCUACCCAGUAGAAGAGAAUGCCAGAUUGGGAGCCAAUACAGCCAACUCACAAGCCAAACCUGUGGUUAGAAAUGGUAAAGCAGAAGUGGAUCCAUCUAUUGGUCCCAACGUUGAAGCGGCACUUAGUACUUCCCCUUCUCAAGCCUUAAGUCAAGCAGAACAGAGGAAGGCAAUUAUUGGCUCCAAAAAACCAGCUGCAGCCAAAAAAGGGAAAGGGCUUGGUGCUCAGCGUGUACAAAAAGAUUUUGGUGCCAUUGAGAGCAGGGCUCAACAAGUUGAUAAAGAAAGGGAGGAGUUAGCUAAGAAUAUUGCUGUUGAGGAGGCCAAAACAAAAGAAGAGCAAGAGAAACAAAUGGCCAGUAUGAGGCUAGCUUAUCAGGACAUGAGCUUACAGAGGAAGAAAGAAGAAGAAAAACUGAUGAAGAAUGACCCCAAAAAAGCUGAACAAUUUGAAAGACUCGGAAUGGGGUUUGCGGGAAAUAAAGGAGUCAGUCAUUCUGCUCUGUCAGACAUGCAAGUAAUCAAUCAAGAAACUCCUAGUGGUGGUAACAGUAAUUCCACCAGGCGAGACUUUGAUGCUUAUGGAGAGAAACCCAGAAGUAAAAGAGAUUUUUUUGAUGACGAAUUUGAAAUUGUUUCCAGUUGGUCUUCCAAACGCACUGAAGACAGUAAUACUUCAAAGAAUGAUGAUUUUGGAGGCUGGGGCAGCAAGAAUAAAAGCGGAGGAUGGGAUAUAGAUAAAUUUGACGAUAAAUCAAAUACGUCCGAGACCAUUUCACAGAAAAACACAGACAGCUCUUUAUAUAACGAAGACAAAGAAAAUGAAAGAGAUGGAGAGAAUAGCAGUGUAGAUGAAACAUGGUCUAGCCGAAGCAGGAAAAAUCCCGACACUACUUCAUCCUCCUUUGACUCUGGUGAUAGUGCCCAAAAAAAAUUUGGCAGUGCCAAGGCCAUCUCAUCAGAUCAAUAUUUUGGGAACAGAGAAAAUGAUUUUGAAGUGAGGCAGAAUUUAAGUCGCCUGGAAGGUCAGUCUUCCAUUUCUAGCGAUGAUUUCUUUGGAGGGGGCAGUGGCGGCAGCAGCAGUUCUCGUCGACAGUACAGCAGCGCCACACCUGAUCUGCAGGACAUUAAGGAUGGGGUGAAGCAAGGAGUCACCAAAGUAGCUGGUAAAAUCUCCAGUCUGGCUAAUGGAGUUAUGUCCAGUUUACAGGAAUGGGGUGAUGACUUCUGACCAUAUUUUUAUGUGUGUGGGUCAGGUUUUUUUCUUGUCCAUAUACUGGGAGAAAAUCUGACCUGCUCCCCUCUGCAAGCUUGUAUACAAUGGAUCGCUAUGGAUGACCACAAGGUGUUAAGGACGCGGACAAUGUAUAUGACCAUAAUUUCCACCAAGUUCUUUAUGACCUCCAUUCUGACGGUCCAUGCUUUCAGUGUGUGGACAGACAGCUGGGCCAAUGGCGGGAGAAUAUGAUAAUUUAUAUUUGAUACACAUUGUGUUUUUGUUGUGUAUGAUGAGGAUGAAUGAUGGUGCCAGUUAUUUUCAUUACUUUAUUGAUUGUGAUACUGUAGACAAGAUAUUCUGUUAUUCAGUUGUCCUGCUUAGAUGAUUGGUGUUGACAAAAAUUUACAAUUUAAAAAAAAUAUGUUUUGAGACGCUCUCCACUUUGUUAUGAAAUAUGAAAAAUAAAAUGCUUGGAAGAAAUUGUGAAUCAAUUGAUCUUAUCCAAAACACAGAAAUUUAGGCAGGUAAAAAACUUCAUCGCAUUUUUAGAGUUGUUUUUUUUUGUAUUUGUACAUUAAACACUCUAAUUGGCUACAUAGUCUUAUAUAAAAAUUGAUGAUAAGACCUCUUUUAACAAUAAAAAGCUCUGUAUAUUUAUAAAUAGAACUGUAGUUUUAACAUUUUUAUUUUGUGCUAUUUAUAAAUGAUUAUUCUUUAAGAUGGUCACUUAAGAUUUGUUUGUUAGCACGCAUAUGUUAUUGUCCAGUCAGGUACCAUGUUUUUUUCAUGUUGUGUUAAGUUCAUCUCCAGUCAGGUCAUGUGUUAAUAUUCUUAAAUACAUUUGUUUAAUUCCAUUUUUUCCCCCCAGUUAUACUUUUAUGUAGUUUGACAUGAUGUUAGGCUGUCAGUGUUAGUGUUGAUCAGUUCUUUGGUUAAACAGAAAUCUGUGAGAGGCACAACUUGUUACUAAAAGUUAAUAUUCUUUUUAGGCUAAUACUUUAUAGAACUGAAUGAACAGUUUAUCAGAGGCGAAGCUUUUCUCAUGGAGAAUUCAUAAGACAUGCUGAAGUAAAUGUAUCCAAUGUACAGGAUUUGAACUGGAGCCUAGCUUCCAAAGCUUCCUUUUGUUAUUUUGUUUCCCCCUAGGAUGAACACUUAAUGAAUGAAAUGGGUGGGAGGGAGAUAAAUAGGAGAAAAACUUCUGGCUGUUGUGUAAAUGUAUGUCCACCUCCAUUGCAUGUUUCUACUAGUAAGCUUUAUUGUUUUUCUUGACUUUUUUUUUUUUGAUGUAUCUUAACGCUCCAAUGUACAGUAAAACUUAGCAAACGGAAGAGAAUUUCUCAUCAGCUCAACCAGGAUGAGGUUAAUUAAAAAUCUGCUAGUUGUUUUUGGGAAACAAAAAGCCAAGAGAACUUCACAAUGGCAAUAUCAUUUUUAGAGACUUUAUUUUUUGCCUGUUUUCAGAAAACUGAAUGCACUUAUGACUGAAGUGAAGAUGUAACAACUGCUAGACAUAACUUUGUUUGUUUUUUUUAAAACGAAAUGUAGAUUAUUUGGGGUGAUUUCCUUGUGUUAUGUGUAUUUCCUAUACAAAUGUUAUUUCCUUGGAGGGGUUUCUUUCAAUAAAAUGUACAGAUACACUU